rnacentral:misc_RNA from 1 species
CACAACAAGUACGUGAUGUACCGAGCGUGGCGGGAAGCACGUUGCACGUUCGGUCGCAAACCAAUCCACACACCUGUGAACGUAUGGCCUUCGGGUCGCGCGACCCGAGGGCAAACCAUUUUUUACCCACUCUGUUCGUAAAGGAAUGUCGUAUGUGCUAACGCGCAAACUUAACAACUUUCAACAACGGAUCUCUUGGCUCUCGCAUCGAUGAAGAACGCAGCGAAAUGCGAUAAGUAAUGUGAAUUGCAGAAUUCAGUGAUCAUCGAAUCUUCGAACGACCUUGCACCCUUUGUAUUCCGAAGGUACGCCCGUUUGAGAGCAUUGAUCUCACCCCCAGAGUUUCGCUCUGGAUGGCUUGGCGUGCGGAUCGCUCGCUCGAUGCUCAUGACCCGUCGCGCUCUAAUGGUAGUUCUUCCUGUCAUCUCUCGAGCCGUCUCGGAGGGCUACGUUCCACGCUCGACAUAUUGCAUUGCUCACGGAAUACCGU